rnacentral:sRNA from 1 species
AGUUCCCUCGUGGCAUCCCGUGGGCAGAAUUCCAUGCUUGCAUGAGAAUUUGCCCACGGGAUGCCACGAAGGGAGCGCCGCCAAAAUGCAAAGCUUCCUUUUUAUCCCGAAAUAUAGUAAGAUAAAUUGAUAUCAGGAUUGUGGGAGUGCGCAGCACGGAACAAUCCGCAGGUAUCA